rnacentral:rRNA from 1 species
UACGUAGGGGGCUAGCGUUGUCCGGAAUUAUUGGGCGUAAAGAGCUCGUAGGCGGUGUGUCGCGUCGGCCGUGAAAACCUGCAGCUUAACUGUGGGCUUGCGGUCGGUACGGGCAUCACUGGAGUUCGGCAGGGGAGACUGGAAUUCCUGGUGUAGCGGUGAAAUGCGCAGAUAUCAGGAGGAACACCGGUGGCGAAGGCGGGUCUCUGGGCCGAUACUGACGCUGAGGAGCGAAAGCGUGGGGAGCGAACAGG